rnacentral:lncRNA from 1 species
AUGGGAAAGAAAAAGACUCAUAUCAACAUUGUCACCAUUGGACACGUAGAUUCGAGCAGGUCCACCACUACUGGCCAUCCAAUCUACACACGUGGUGGCAUCAAGAAAGAACCACUGAAAAAUUUGAGAAGGAGGCUGCUGAGAUGGGAAAGAGUGUCUUCAACUAUUCCUGGGUAUUGGAUAAACUGAAUGCUGAGUGUGAAUGUGAUAUUACUCACCAUUGAUACCUCUGUUUGGAAAUUUGAGACCAGCAAGUGACUAUCGCUGUUGCCUUAGGCCACAGAGACUUUAUCAAAAACGUGAUUACAGGGACAUAUCAGGUGGGCUGUGUUGUCCUGAUUAUUGCUGCUGGUGUUGGCAACUUUGAAGCUGGUAUCUCCAAAACCGGACAGACCUGUGAUCAUGCCCUUCUGCCUUACACACAGGGUGUGAAAAAACUAAUUGUUGGAGUUGACAAAAUGGAUUCCACUGAGCCAUCCUACAGUCAGAAGAGAUAGGAGGAAAUAAUUAAGGAAAUCAGCAUGUACAUUAAGAAAACUGGCUACAACCCAGCCACAAUAGUAUUUGUGUCAGUUUCUGGUUGGAAUGGGGAGAAUGUGGAG